UCUCCUUGGCCCAUUAACCACACGGAAGGGAGUAUUCGCUGUGGAGUGCCUCUGUAGCUGAGGGCCCCUGGCGCGUGGUUUCAUCAGAGGCAGACAGCUGCGUGAGUCACUGUGGUGGGCAGUGUGCUGGGCCACCCUGCGGGUCCUGCCAGAGUGCUGUGGAAUUCAAGUUUGUCUUCUCCAGUUUUAGUCUCUGCACGUGCGUUGGUCUCCUUUCUGCCCCUACAGUGUGGCCAAGGCCAUUCCAGCCUCAGGAGGGCAAGAGGAGGCCUGUUGGAUGCAUCCUGAAAACACAGGCCAUCACUGUGGGUGAGAUCUACCAGGACAGAUGCCAUUCUGCAAAGUGGCAGGAGAAACACAGAGCCAGACGUUACACUGCUUUUCAAAGAGAGUUGCCUCUGCUGCCCCAGCGAGGAUGGCGACACAAACAGCGGUGGUGUCAGCGGACAGCGGUGGUGUCAGCGGUGACCGAGGCAGGGCCGAGACUCCAGGGCCCUUCGGGUUCAAGCUGUGCCCCCUCGCGCAGUUCAGCACCUGCCAGCACUUCCAAGUGUGUGAUUGUCACGCUUGCCUGAUUACUCCUUCCUUUGGGCUCCCAUAGCAAUUUGUACAUUACUGUGGAAUUGAUCAAAUUGCUUUAUAACUA
rnacentral:lncRNA from 1 species